UGCCAGCCGCCGCGGUAAUACGAAGGGUGCAAGCGUUGUUCGGAUUUAUUGGGCGUAAAGCGCGCGCAGGCGGACCUGCAAGUCAGAUGUGAAAUCUCGGGGCUCAACCCCGAAACUGCGUCUGAAACUGCUGGUCUAGAGUCUCGGAGAGGGAAGGGGAAUUUCGCAUGUAGGGGUAAAAUCCGUAGAGAUGCGAAGGAACACCGGAGGCGAAGGCGCCUUCCUGGACGAGUACUGACGCUGAGGCGCGAAAGCGUGGGGAGCAAACAGGAUUAGAUA
rnacentral:rRNA from 1 species